GCGGGCGACUGCGGGGCGGGCGGGAAGGCUCUGCGGCCGGGGAACGGGAAGCCCCCGCCGCCUGGAGCCCGCCCCGGCCUCGCGGCUAGGCCUCGGCGCGGCCCUGAGCUCGGGGCCACAGUACCAGCCAUCAGUCCAGCAGACUUUGCCCGUAGCCACAAGGGGUAUCAGGGAGAAAGUAUGGAUGGAUCCUUGCAAAUCCAUCACUGCUGUGAGAAAAAACCAGCUGAAAUCACAGGAGUGGGUCGGUCAAUCAAGUCACCUUCAGCUUGGAGGGACAGACAAUAAUAUUCAUUGCCACUGUCAUGAACUUCAAAUUUUGCUACAGUCAGAGGAUCUUCAUUCAGAGCGCCACUUUAGAGUGCUAACUUGAUGAGUUGACCAUUCGAACAGUCACAGAGGCCAUCACUUCUUGGAGCUGGUGUGUAUCCUUUCCGUUCACAUUUCAGCAUGCUUUCCACAUAUGUAUGUGUCCAUAAACUCUAAUUAUAUUGUGUAUUUUAAAAUUUACAUAAAUGCUUCCAUGUGGUUUGUAUCCUUUUACAACUUGUUUUUGUGGGGACUUAUAUGUGAUAAUAGCAGUUUGUUGGAGUACGAUGUUCUAGAAUUUCAUUAUGUGAUUAUGUCACGUAUAAUAGGUUGUUGAUUCCCAUGUCUGAAGAUGUGUGUAUGCCAGAUUUCCUUAUGUUUGAAAAGACCAAAAAAGAAAAAUAAAUUAUAUAUUUGAGUCAUAUUGAUAUUCUGCUGUGAUUUGAAAGAGUGAGGCCUGACAUGUUUCUUGCUUACUGAAAUUUUAUUUUUUUUAUUUUUUAAGGUUUUUUUUUUUUGUCUUUGUUUUAUUUUGGUUUUGGCUGCGUUGGGUGUUCGUUGCUGCA